rnacentral:rRNA from 1 species
UACGAAGGGGGCUAGCGUUGUUCGGAAUUACUGGGCGUAAAGCGCACGUAGGCGGAUAUUUAAGUCAGGGGUGAAAUCCCAGAGCUCAACUCUGGAACUGCCUUUGAUACUGGGUAUCUUGAGUAUGGAAGAGGUAAGUGGAAUUGCGAGUGUAGAGGUGAAAUUCGUAGAUAUUCGCAGGAACACCAGUGGCGAAGGCGGCUUACUGGUCCUAACUGACGCUGA